UCCCCAAAAGGGAAAAUUGGAACCC
rnacentral:piRNA from 1 species